rnacentral:ncRNA from 1 species
CACAAAGGCUUGGUCCUGACUUUACUGUCAGCUUUAACUAAACUUACACAUGCAAGUAUCCGCACCCCUGUGAGAAUGCCCCACAGUUCUCCACCCGAGAACAAGGAGCUGGUAUCAGGCACAGUUCAUACUGGCCCACGACACCUUGCUUAGCCACACCCCCAAGGGAAUUCAGCAGUGACAAACAUUAAGCCAUAAGUGAAAACUUGACUUAGUUAAAGCUAAGAGAGCCGGUAAAACUCGUGCCAGCCACCGCGGUUAUACGAGAGGCUCAAGUUGACAGACAACGGCGUAAAGAGUGGUUAAGGCACCCUUUCCUAAAACUAAAGUCGAACGCCUUCAGGGCUGUUAUACGCUCCCGAAGGUAAGAAGCUCCACCACGAAAGUGACUUUAUUUCCCCCGACCCCACGAAAGCUGUGACACAAACUGGGAUUAGAUACCCCACUAUGCUCAGCCGUAAACAUUGAUAGACCAUUACACCCACUAUCCGCCCGGGUACUACGAGCACCAGCUUAAAACCCAAAGGACUUGGCGGUGCUUUAGAUCCACCUAGAGGAGCCUGUUCUAGAACCGAUAAUCCCCGUUAAACCUCACCCUCCCUUGUUCCUUUCCGCCUAUAUACCGCCGUCGUCAGCUUACCCUGUGAAGGAUCAAUAGUAAGCAAAAUUGGUAAAGCCCAAAACGCCAGGUCGAGGUGUAGCGAAUGGGAGGGGAAGAAAUGGGCUACAUUUCCUGACCCAGGAAAUACGGAUAAUGCACUGAAACGUACAUUUGAAGGAGGAUUUAGCAGUAAGUAGAAAGCAGAGUGUUCUACUGAAACCGGCCCUGAAGCGCGCACACACCGCCCGUCACUCUCCCCGACAACUACUAUGACCCAUACCUAAAAAGCCAUACCUAAAAAGGGGAGGCAAGUCGUAACAUGGUAAGUGUACCGGAAGGUGCACUUG